AUGCCAAGUGAAGAACUUCUAGUUCCUUCUAGUAGGAUUGCAACCCUGGACUUCAGGAGAGCUGACUUUGGCCUCUUCAGGGACCUACUUAGGGGAAUCUCCUGGGGUAGGGCCCUAGAAGGAAGAGGGGUCCAAGAAAGCUGGUUAAUAUUCAAGCGUCACUUCCUCCAGGCUCAGGAUCAGUGCAUCCCUCUGAGGAAGAAGUCCAGCAAAGCGGGCAGGAGACCUGCAUGGAUGAGCAAGGAACUCCUGGCCAAACUCCAGCAGAAGAAGGAAGUGUACAGAAUGUGGAAAAGGGGACAGGCCACUUGGGAGGAAUACAGGGACGUUGUCAGAGCGUGCAGGGAUGCGACAAGGAAGGCUAAGGCCCAGCUGGAAUUAAAUCUGGCAAGGGAUGUCAAGGACAACAAGAAGGCCUUCUUCAAAUACAUCAAUAGCAAAAGGAAGACUAGGGAAAACGUGGGCCCGCUGCUGAAUGGGGCGGGUGCCCUGGUAACAAAGGAUACAGAGAAGGCAGAGUUAUUGAAUGCCUUCUUUGCUUCUGUCUUCACUGCUAAGGCCAGUCCUGAGGAAUUCCAGACCUUGGAGACAAGAGAGGAAGGCUGGAGAAAGGAAGACUCUCCCUUGGUUGAGGAGGAUCGGGUUAGAGAUCUUUUGUCCAAACUUGACAUCCACAAAUCCAUGGGCCCCGAUGGGAUGCACCCACGAGUGCUGAGGGAGCUGGCGGAUGUUAUCGCUAGGCCUCUCUCCAUCAUCUUUGAAAGGUCCUGGAGAUCAGGAGAGGUGCCUGAGGACUGGAAGAAAGCCAAUGUCACGCCAGUCUUCAAAAAGGGCAAGAAGGAGGAGCCAGGAAACUACAGGCCUGUCAGCCUCACCUCCAUCCCGGGAAAGGUGAUGGAACAGCUCAUCCUGGAGGUCAUCACUAAGCAUCUGGAGGACAAGAAGGUGAUCAGGAGUAGUCAGCAUGGAUUCACCAAAGGGAAAUCAUGCUUGACCAAUCUGAUAGUGGAGUCUCCU
rnacentral:lncRNA from 1 species